rnacentral:rRNA from 1 species
UGUGAGUUUGAUCCUGGCUCAGAUUUAACGCUAGCGGUUUGCCUAACACAUGCAAGUUAAACUGUUGUUUUAACAGUAGCGAACGGGUGAGUAAUAUAUUACAUAUAGCCAUAUAUUUUGCAUAAAGUGAUGAAAAUUACUGUAAAACAUAAUAAAGUUAUUAAAUAUAAAAUAACAAAAAGUAAAAAAAUAUUUUUUUAUUGUAUAUGAAUUAUGUAAUACCAGAUUAGCUAGUUGGUGACAUAAUAGGUUACCAAGGCAAUUAUCUGUAGCUGUUCUGAGAGGAAGCACAGCCACAUUGGGACUGAGACAAGGCCCAAACUCUUAAGGGAGGCAGCAGUGAGGAAUAUUGGACAAUGAGCGGAAGCUUGAUCCAGCAAAAUCGCGUGUGCGAAGAAGGUUUACUGUAAAGCACUUUUUUUUAAGAAUAAGUUUUUUUAAAAAAAAAAUUGAAUGUAUUAAAAGAAUAAGCACCGGCUAACUAUGUGCCAGCAGCCGCGGUAAUACAUAGGGUGCGAGCGUUAAUCGGAAUUAUUGGGCGUAAAGCGUACGUAGACCGUUUAUUAAGAAAAAUAAUAAAUAAUGUAACUUAAUUACAUAAAUUAUUUUUUACUGGUAAACUAGGAUUUAAAAGGGGAGAGUAGAAUUUUAUGUGUAGCGGUGAAAUGCGUAGAUAUAUAAAAGAAUACCAAAGGCGAAGGCAACUCUCUGGUUUAAUAUCGACGUUGAUGUACUAAAGCGUGGGGAGCAAACAGGAUUAGAUACCCUGGUAGUCCACGCCCUAAACGAUGUCAACUAAUUAUCAGAAUAAAUUUGGUAGUAAAGCUAACGCGUUAAGUUGACCGCCUGGGGAGUACGAUCGCAAGAUUAAAACUCAAAGGAAUUGACGGGGACCCGCACAAGCGGUGGAUGAUGUGGAUUAAUUCGAUGCAACACGAAGAACCUUACCUACUUUUGACAUGUAUAGAAUUCUUUCGAGAGAAAGAAGUGCCUAAGGGAACUAUAACACAGGUGCUGCAUGGCUGUCGUCAGCUCGUGUCGUGAGAUGUUGGGUUAAGUCCUAUAACGAGCGUAACCCUUUUUCUUUGUUGCUACUUUUAUGGGCACUCGAAGAAUACUGCUAAUGAUAAAUUAGAGGAAGGAAAGGAUGACGUCAAGUCCUCAUGGCCUUUAUAAGUAGGGCUUCACACGUCAUACAAUGGUUAAUACAAUUAGAAGCGAAUUUGUAAAAAAGAGCAAAUCUAUAAAAUUAAUCUAAGUUCGGAUUGUACUAUGAAACUCUAGUACAUGAAGUUGGAAUCGCUAGUAAUCGUAAAUCAGAAUGUUACGGUGAAUACGUUCUCGGGUCUUGUACACACCGCCCGUCACACCAUGGAAGUAAUUUUUAUUGGAAACUUUUCUUUAUUGAAUUGUCAAUAUAAAAAUUAUAACUGGGGUGAAGUCGUAACAAGGUAGCCGUAUCGGAAGGUGCGGCUGGAUU